UAGCCUAGUGGUUAAGGCUAUGGAUCGCCAAUCCGGAGACGGCGAGUUCGAUUCUCGU
rfam:Aedes albopictus isolate Foshan contig45127, whole genome shotgun sequence.